AGGGCAAUCUGGGAAAGUGGCCAAGCACGGUAUUAGGGAGCGAUGCACCCAGCCACAGCCUGCUGGAGGCAGCAGACCUCACCUUCCCCGGGCACUGGAUCAGGCUGUGCUGCUAUUCAAAAUGCUGCUGAGGAGCCAUGUAUUUAUUACAGAUGAGCAGUGGAAGAACAGAAGAGACAGGUUGGGUUAAGAGGCCAGAUCAAGGUAAAUCAUAGCAAACAAGAGACUGGAAGAUUUCAAAGAUCUAGUCACUAAAUAAGCAGAAAAUUACUCUUUUAAGAUAAAGUUAAAGGACAUUAU
rnacentral:lncRNA from 1 species